rnacentral:rRNA from 1 species
CCUACGGGAGGCAGCAGUGGGGAAUUUUGGACAAUGGGCGAAAGCCUGAUCCAGCAAUGCCGCGUGCAGGAAGAAGGCCUUCGGGUUGUAAACUGCUUUUGUACGGAACGAAACGGUUCGCUUUAAUACAGUGGGCUAAUGACGGUACCGUAAGAAUAAGCACCGGCUAACUACGUGCCAGCAGCCGCGGUAAUACGUAGGGUGCGAGCGUUAAUCGGAAUUACUGGGCGUAAAGCGUGCGCAGGCGGUUAUAUAAGACAGUUGUGAAAUCCCCGGGCUCAACCUGGGAAUUGCAUCUGUGACUGUAUAGCUAGAGUACGGUAGAGGGGGAUGGAAUUCCGCGUGUAGCAGUGAAAUGCGUAGAUAUGCGGAGGAACACCGAUGGCGAAGGCAAUCCCCUGGACCUGUACUGACGCUCAUGCACGAAAGCGUGGGGAGCAAACAGGAUUAGAUACCCUGGUAGUCCACGCCCUAAACGAUGUCAACUGGUUGUUGGGUGCAUUAGUACUCAGUAACGAAGCUAACGCGUGAAGUUGACCGCCUGGGGAGUACGGCCGCAAGGUUGAAACUUAAAUGAAUUGACGGCUUGGNGAGNGCGAGGACGACGACGAGGAGAGG